GGCAACUAUUCAAGUAUAAUCACACUAGCGCACGUGACUGAUAUGUGUAUUGGUGCAACAUACAAGAGCCACGAUAAAGCCCAGAAAACUUGAGGUGGCUAAUGCGUGGCCAGCCAUCAUGAGAAGAAGAGCAGAGCUGUGCAUUUUUACAUGCACCACGGAGUAUGCAACGCGUCCCAACCAGUUCCAUCCAUAAGGUUUCCGGAGAAAAUUCUGGGAUCAUCCAUUGCCUGGAAAUCUAUUGACAUUGCUGCCUCUGCCCAAAUUGAAUCGUCAAACAAGGGCAAAUUCACGUUCAGAUUUUCCCAUAACUCGUCCAUUCCUUCUUGAUUUUGCACUAAAUUCCCUUCAUUUUCUGCUACCUUCACAUCUGACUCCACGUUAUCGUCAGAAAUUGGCAUGAUCGUGUCAUGGCUAUAUGCUGGAUUCACUUCACCUGGCUUAAUGAGUGGGCUGCUGCUUGAUGAACAUAUGGCACCCGAAUU
rnacentral:misc_RNA from 1 species